rnacentral:lncRNA from 1 species
CUUCCGGUGCUGAGGAUGGCGGCAGCCGCGGGACGGUGCUGAGGAUGGCGGCGGCCAUGGAAGGUGCUCCCUGCUUCUGCGCGGAUCCAGGCCUUCGGGAUCUCGCCCUCUGCAGUGCGGAGAACUCACUGGACGGAGACGAGAGAGGCGGCGGCGGCUGCACAGCUGGUGUGCAAUUGCUGGAUUAUAUGAUCUGAGGCUUCAGAAAAGGAAAUUAGGAAUUAGGAAGAAGUGUUCCUUCACUUCUACUUUCUGGAGAAGACUACAUAGCUGUUCAUGGUAUUUCCUUAUUCUCCUAAUGCUCGCAUGAUCUACAGUGAUAUUCUCACAGGCUUCAUGGCUGUGGCUACAGACUUAUGUCUCUUGAAUGAAAGUGAAUUGCUGAAGAUGAGGUUGUUGACCUUCUUCUUAGAAUAAGAAUAAAUAAAUUUGAUUUCUAGUAUAAAGU